rnacentral:lncRNA from 1 species
GUAUUGCUUGGCCAUCCUCUGAAUAUUGACAUUCCUCUUAAGCCAUAUUUUGGAGUUUCCCUUACAAGUCAAUUCUAUGAAGGAUGGCAUCCAACAUAAAUGCAAGCACUGUCACAUCCUUUUGACACCCAUCUGGGUUUUCUAUGUCAUUAUUCAUCAUUCUAACUGUCACGCCCCGGAUCCGGAUCCGUGACACGGCCGUGCUAUUGCCGACUACUGCCCACAAUAGCACGCAGCCUCAUACAUGGGUAACAGAGUAGUCAAACCAACCAAAUCUUUUCAUAUGAAAGCAUUCUUAGUACAACAUGCUGGUCAGUACCCAAAUACAGAGCUUCUAUGUAGUUUAUGUACACAAAAGUAUACUUGCUUUACCCCAAAAAAAGAAGCCCUGAUACAAAAUUAAAGUGUUUCCAGCAGCUUUCAGUGGUGAGGAUCUGAAAAAAAAUUGUAAAUAACGGGUAUGAGCUACACAGCUCAGUAAGUAAUCAUACAUAAUCUUACUGGAUCGAACAUAAUGGUAACCAUGUUUAUGCAGGGUUUGAGAAGCUGACAUGCGUAUUAUCUCACAAUUUAUCAUGGCAAAAUAUGUAUGCUUGGAAAACAAAGCAGUAUUUUCAGUCACAGAAUUUUCAUAAAACAUGCACAUGAAAUCGUGCCCCCGGCAUGCCGUGGUCCAUUCUCUCGGAUGCUACUGCGAAGUCCAUUCGGCCACUGGCGGGGCCAGCUUAGUCAUUUUCGGCCACUAGCAAGGCCAGCUUAGUCAUUCUCGGCCACUAGCAAGGCCAGCUCAGUUGCAUUCGAUCAGUAGCAUCUUUGAGCCCAUUAUAGUGCCUCUUGGCUAGAUAGUAUUUCAUUAUACUAACUUGCAUGCAUGAUGAAAAUAUCAGCAUAAUCAUGGUGCAUACAUGGCCAUAGUUUAUGAGAUCAUGAAAGUUCUUAUCCAUCA